AUUGAACGCUGGCGGCAUGCCUUACACAUGCAAGUCGAACGGCAGCACGGGAGCAAUCCUGGUGGCGAGUGGCGAACGGGUGAGUAAUGUAUCGGAACGUGCCCAGUCGUGGGGGAUAAAGCAGCGAAAGCUGUGCUAAUAACGCAUACGAUCUAUGGAUGAAAGCGGGGGAUCGCAAGACCUCGCGCGAUUGGCGCGGCCGAUAUCAGAUGAGGGAGUGGGUGGGGUAACGGCCCACCAAGCCGCCGAUCUGUAGCUGGUCUGAGAGGACGACCAGCCACACUGGGACUGAGACACGGCCCAGACUCCUACGGGAGGCAGCAGUGGGGAAUUUUGGACAAUGGGCGCAAGCCUGAUCCAGCAAUGCCGCGUGCAGGAUGAAGGCCUUCGGGUUGUAAACUGCUUUUGUACGGAGCGAAACGGCUUCCACUAAUACUUGGGGCUAAUGACGGUACCGUAAGAAUAAGCACCGGCUAACUACGUGCCAGCCGCCGCAGUAA
rnacentral:rRNA from 1 species